AAAGAGCUGAGGUCUAUGGUGAUAGGUGGGAUGGGCUGAGGGGGAGGGAUUAAAGAGCUGAGGUCUAUGGUGAUAGGUGGGAUGGGCUGAGGGGGAGGGAUUAAAGAGCUGAGGUCUAUGGUGAUAGGUGGGAUGGGCUGAGGGGGAGGGAUUAAAGAGCUGAGGUCUAUGGUGAUAGGUGGGAUGGGCUGAGGGGGAGGGAUUAAAGAGCUGAGGUCUAUGGUGAUAGGUGGGAUGGGCUGAGGGGGAGGGAUUAAAGAGCUGAGGUCUAUGGUGAUAGGUGGGAUGGGCUGAGGGGGAGGGAUUAAAGAGCUGAGGUCUAUGGUGAUAGGUGGGAUGGGCUGAGGGGGAGGGAUUAAAGAGCUGAGGUCUAUGGUGAUAGGUGGGAUGGGCUGAGGGGGAGGGAUUAAAGAGCUGAGGUCUAUGGUGAUAGGUGGGAUGGGCUGAGGGGGAGGGAUUAAAGAGCUGAGGUCUAUGGUGAUAGGUGGGAUGGGCUGAGGGGGAGGGAUUAAAGAGCUGAGGUCUAUGGUGAUAGGU